rnacentral:lncRNA from 1 species
GCGAAGGAAACUUGCCUUGAGGCGUUGCAUGGCCCUGUAGUGCAGGGGCCCGGGAAAAAUGGCCUGGAUGGAUGCAGAGAGAAGGCCUACGAUCCGUGCCAGUAAUCGUAGGGGUAUGGUAGUCCGACGAAGGACUUUCCGGAUCUCCCUGCGGAUUGCCGUAAUUUUGGUAGCCGGGAGGUGGAGAGUGCAUGAUGUGGAGUCUAUUACGAAUCCGAGGAAUUGAACUGAUUGAGCCGGGGUCAAUGCAGACUUGGGACGGUUGACGACGAAACCCAGAGAGUCCAAAAGGUGUAGUGUGUAUUCCGUGUGUCUCCGCAGAGUCUCUGCAUCCUC